rnacentral:rRNA from 1 species
UUUUGCUAAAAUUUUGCAGGACUUGUCCUGUAAGAUUUUAGCGUUUUUAGAUAGUGGCAAAAGGGUGAGUAACGCGUGAGUAAUUUACCUUGAAGACAGGAAUAACCCCGUGAAAACGGAGCUAAUACCUGAUAAUGUUUUUUUAGCGCAUGUUAAAAAAAUUAAAGAUGGGGAUCUCGAUUCGUCGAGACCUAUUGCUUCGGGAUGAGCUCGCGUCCUAUCAGCUAGUUGGUGGGGUAAUGGCCUACCAAGGCAUUUGACGGGUAGCUGGUCUGAGAGGAUGGUCAGCCACACUGGGACUGAGACACUGCCCAGACUCCUACGGGAGGCUGCAGUCGAGAAUCUUUCGCAAUGGGCGCAAGCCUGACGAUGCGACGUCGCGUGAGGGAUGAAGGCUUUCGAGUCGUAAACCUCUGUUAAGAGGGAUGAAUGGUAGUCAGUUGAAUAAGCUGGUUAUUUGACAGUACCUCUAGAGGAAGCCACGGCUAACUCCGUGCCAGCAGCCGCGGUAAUACGGAGGUGGCAAGCGUUGUUCGGAUUUAUUGGGUGUAAAGGGCGCGUAGGCGUUUUAAUAAGUCUUGAUUGAAAUCCUUCGGCUUAACCGAAGAACUGGUUGAGAAACUGUUAAAAUUGAGUUCGAGAGAGGAGAACGGAAUUCCUGGUGUAAGGGUGAAAUCUGUAGAUAUCGGGAAGAACACCAGUGGCGAAGGCGGUUCUCUGGCUCGAAACUGACGCUGAGGCGCGAAAGCUAGGGGAGCGAACAGGAUUAGAUACCCUGGUAGUCCUAGCCGUAAACGAUGGACACUAGGUGUUCCCGGUUAAUUCGGGAGUGCCGAAGCUAACGCAUUAAGUGUCCCACCUGGGGAGUACGUCGGCAACGAUGAAACUCAAAGGAAUUGACGGGGGCCCGCACAAGCGGUGGAGCAUGUGGUUUAAUUCGAUGCUACGCGAGGAACCUUACCAGGGUUUGAAAUGCAGGAAGUAGGAGCCCGAAAGGGGGACGACCCGUCAAAUCGGGAACCUGUGCAGGUGCUGCAUGGCUGUCGUCAGCUCGUGCCGUGAGGUGUUGGGUUAAGUCCCGCAACGAGCGCAACCCUUGUUCUUAGUUGCCACUUUCGAGUAAUCGAGAAGCACUCUAAGAAGACUGCCCCGGAUAACGGGGAGGAAGGUGGGGAUGACGUCAAGUCAGUAUGGCCCUUAUGUCCUGGGCGACACACGUGCUACAAUGGCCGGUACAAAGAGUAGCCAAUCCGCGAGGAUGAGCAAAUCCCAAAAAGCCGGCCCCAGUUCAGAUUGCAGGCUGAAAUUCGCCUGCAUGAAGUUGGAAUCGCUAGUAAUCCCGUAUCAGCCAUGACGGGGUGAAUACGUUCCCGGGCCUUGUACACACCGCCCGUCAAGUCACCUGAGUCGAGUGCACCCGAAGUUCUCAUUAUUGGGAACGAAGGUGUGUUUGGUAAGGGGGACUAAGUCGUAACAAGGUAGCCCUACCGGAAGGUGG